CUCGCGACCGCAGCGCCCUCACUACCGGUCGAUGAAUACAGGCACGAGCAGACGAAGAUACUUGAAAUUCAGACUUCAAGAAAAUAUGCGGUGUCUCUCUCCCAAAGCUGUUCUGUGAGCAUAUGAAGACUCGGUUCUUCUGAAAUGCUUCGAAACGCAAUAGAACUGACAGACGACGCGAUUCAGCUCCCAAUGGGACACUUUUAGAACUCUGAGUAAAAGUAGAGCGAGGUGCGAUGUGACAACAGCAUCGACUGCAGUCGGUUUGACAGCAGAAAGUUGUGUAAAAGGGGUAGCAGCUGUUCCCUGUUUAGACAGCAACUUUUCUGUGCGUGUUCCCAGUGUUUUUCUUCCUUCCGUUUAUCGGCCUGCGUUCGAAUCUUUAAUCUAGUUCAAGUAGUUAAAUCGGAAACAUUGUAACUGUGAAAUCUGGCGAGCUCAAUAUAUAUUCAAAACAAUCUUAACCCAUUAUAUAAUAUUUUGAGUAAUUCUUUCUUGUUGAUUAACUUUCUGUGUAUAACAUUUAUGAUGAUGAUUUUAUAAAUGGUCACGGUUCUGCAACGCAGAAAUCAGUUGAUGGAAAGAAGGAAGACAGUUUUGCAAAUAUGAGCCUGACAGAACACAAUUUGUAUUUAGCGCAGUUUAGGGUUUGCGUGUCUUCAAGUACUUGCAAAGUAGCUAUUUUAUGCGAAGAAUAAAAAAAUACUGAAAUUAUGUAAUGUUGGGGGACAAUAUAUAAUAUGAAUUUUGAUAGAAAUUAUAUAUUUCUUUCUGCUUUUGCUUUAAAAAAAGGAAGUAAUAUAUAAAAAAUAAAUUACAACAAUAAAAAGUAGCUAUUUAUAAUUUCGUAAAACAAAGGAACUUAUUUCUUGUGAUUUUUCUCCAAUGCAAUAAAAGUAUAUCUGAUUUUGACUAAUGCUUUGGAAAAAGAUUCUAUGACUGCAAUUUUUCUAUUAUUUUAGACUUUAAAGGGUGGAAUCCACACAGUUUUCAGCUAAAGAUUAUAAAGUAAUUCGUAUUUCUACAAAUAAAAAGUAUAAUAAAGUAAAGACAUUUUGACUGUGGUGACCACAUUAGCAAUAGAAAAUGGGAGCAGUUACAGUCACAAGUUAAAUAACUUUCCCCAUAACUAGAAAACUUUGCUUCUCAUCACACAGAAGGAAAAUAGAACUUAACAUCAUGUCGGAAGCACGAGUAUUUGGAACUAAACUAUCAUUAUGACUCAAAUAUCAUAGACAAUUUUUCUCGCUAUACAAAGAUUUUCAGGUCUUUGUGGACUCAAGAGGUCGAAAACCCAAUGACAUUUCGCUACUGCAAGAAUGGCUUGUAAGGUUUCCUGUCACUGGCUGUUGACGCUGACAUUUGCCGAAGUUAUUUCCGCUUUGCCAUGAAGAACUCGGAGACAAAUCACAACAGCACAAAGAAGAUGAAGUCCGCUUUGAACGAGGACGAGCUGGACA